AAUCAUUAGCCUCUUAAUUAGAGACUCGUAUGAACGGUGAAACAUUUCAAUUACUUUAUUAAUUAACUUUAUCAAAUUUAAACCAAGAAUAAAAAUGUUCUUAUAAAUUAAUUAGACGACAAGACCCUUUUGAACUUUACUAUUGUUUAGCUGGGGUAGCUAUAAAAUAUUAAUCUUCUUAACUUUAUUUAUAUAAAUGACCCAAUUCAAUUGAUUAUUUGAACAAGUUACCAUAGGGAUAACAGCGUAAUAUUUUUUAAAAGUUCUUAUUUAAAAAAAUGAUUGCGACCUCGAUGUUGAAUUAAUGUAACUUUAUUGAUGAAGUAAUCAUAAAAGUUGGUCUGUU
rnacentral:rRNA from 1 species